AAGCCCUUACCCCACUGCUUAAUAGGUAUUUAUCUGUUAGGGUGGGGGAAGGUACUAC
rnacentral:pre_miRNA from 1 species